UGACGGUAUCUAACCAGCAAGUCACGGCUAACUACGUGCCAGCAGCCGCGGUAAUACGUAGGUGGCAAGCGUUAUCCGGAUUUAUUGGGCGUAAAGGGAACGCAGGCGGUUUUUUAAGUCUGAUGUGAAAGCCUUCGGCUUAACCGGAGAAUAGCAUUGGAAACUGGAAGACUUGAGUGCAGAAGAGGAGAGUGGAACUCCAUGUGUAGCGGUGAAAUGCGUAGAUAUAUGGAAGAACACCAGUGGCGAAAGCGGCUCUCUGGUCCGUAACUGACGCUGAGGUUCGAAAGCGUGGGUAGCAAACAGGAUUAGAUACCCUG
rnacentral:rRNA from 1 species